CUAGUAGGUGGACCCGUGCUACGCACGGGAUAAAUCAGUUUUCGUUUAGCUGAUGGUAUUACUUCAAGAUUUAUUCGGUUGAGUUAUAUGGAAUAACUCUGAGAAGAAGAAAAAAACAAAAAAACAAAAAAACAAACAAACAUCUAGAUGGAUGAUAUCAUCACUACAAUUUAUAUUGGGUAUUUUUUUUUAUAAAAUCGUAUUUUAAUAAAAAUAAAAGUAGAAUACGAUCCUGACCAGCAUGCUUAAAACGUUGUAAGGUCCAAGGACUCCUAAUCACUCACGCAAUUAGAUUCUGCACUCUAAACAUCAGCUCUUGAUCCAUACCCAUAGUCAAUUGGUUUAUUUGUGCCUUUCUUUUCCAGCUUGAGCACCAAUACCAAAUACUGAAUUUCACAUCUUCACAAAUUGGACUCCUGAUUAUCUCCCCUCCCUUGAAAAUAGCAUCAUUCCUCCUUGUCCACAACGACCAUAAUACAACAUCGAGCAUGGACCUCCACACCUUUCUUCCAAAAUCCUGCUUCAACCAUUGUUCAACAGAAUCCCACCCAAACAAAUUGGAAAACAAAUCUGGCUUUGGCUGCAACAGGGUACGCCACACUCUAAUGCAACAGAGCAAUGCAAAAGGAGGUGUGGAAUUGUUUCGUCAAAAGUACCACGCAUUGAGCAUAAAGUAGUUACUUGCAUACCUCUGUAAAGAAGAUUAUUGGCAGUUAAGGUUCUAUCGAGCAUCGAGGACCAGAGAAAAUUUUACCUCUAAUAGCAACCCGUUUGCCACACUAAUUUGAAAGGGAAAGAAACAUGUUUAGCAGCUUGAGUUUGUCUAGUUUGAAUUGAUUCUCUUCCC
rnacentral:lncRNA from 1 species